AUUGAACGCUGGCGGCAGGCCUAACACAUGCAAGUCGAGCGGAUGAAGGGAGCUUGCUCCUGGAUUCAGCGGCGGACGGGUGAGUAAUGCCUAGGAAUCUGCCUGGCCUUUGGGGAUAACGUCCGGAAACGGGCGCUAAUACCGCAUACGUCCUGAGGGAGAAAGUGGGGGAUCUUCGGACCACACGCUAUCAGAUGAGCCUAGGUCGGAUUAGCUAGUUGGUGGGGUAAAGGCCUACCAAGGCGACGAUCCGUAACUGGUCUGAGAGGAUGAUCAGUCACACUGGAACUGAGACACGGUCCAGACUCCUACGGGAGGCAGCAGUGGGGAAUAUUGGACAAUGGGCGAAAGCCUGAUCCAGCCAUGCCGCGUGUGUGAAGAAGGUCUUCGGAUUGUAAAGCACUUUAAGUUGGGAGGAAGGGCAGUAAGUUAAUACCUUGCUGUUUUGACGUUACCAACAGAAUAAGCACCGGCUAACUUCGUG
rnacentral:rRNA from 1 species